rnacentral:rRNA from 1 species
AGCGAACGCUGGCGGCAGGCCUAACACAUGCAAGUCGAGCGCCCAGCAAUGGGAGCGGCAGACGGGAGAGUAACACGUGGGAACGUACCCUUCAGUUCGGAACAACCCAGGGAAACUUGGGCUAAUACCGAAUACGUCCGUAAGGAGAAAGAUUUAUCGCUGAAGGAUCGGCCCGCGUCUGAUUAGCUAGUUGGUGGGGUAAUGGCCCACCAAGGCGACGAUCAGUAGCUGGUCUGAGAGGAUGAUCAGCCUCACUGGGACUGAGACACGGCCCAGACUCCUACGGGAGGCAGCAGUGGGGAAUAUUGGACAAUGGGCGCAAGCCUGAUCCAGCCAUGCCGCGUGGAUGAUGAAGGCCUUAGGGUUGUAAAGUCCUUUUCGGCGGGGAAGAUAAUGACGGUACCCGCAGAAGAAGCCCCGGCUAACUUCGUGCCAGCCGCCGCCGUAAU